rnacentral:rRNA from 1 species
UACGUAGGCAGCGAGCGUUGUUCGGAAUUACUGGGCGUAAAGCGUGCGCAGGCGGUUGUGCAAGACAGAUGUGAAAUCCCCGGGCUCAACCUGGGAAUUGCAUUUGUGACUGCACGGCUAGAGUGUGUCAGAGGGGGGUAGAAUUCCACGUGUAGCAGUGAAAUGCGUAGAGAUGUGGAGGAAUACCGAUGGCGAAGGCAGCCCCCUGGGAUAACACUGACGCUCAUGCACGAAAGCGUGGGGAGCAAACAGG